UUCUGAGGGCAUGUUAGUCUAGAGGCUUUUGUUAAAAAUAGGUAAUAAAUAAAAUGUGACUUGGAACAAGAACUCAGUUCCUUUCCUUUCAACAUGAGACUGGAUUUAUUUCUGCUGUGAUACCUACAAGAAACCAACCAGCUCAUGAUGACCAAGAGGAGUGGCCAGUGCAGGCACACAGGAGAAGGAAUAAGGAUUGGUAAUUGUUUGGGUACUGUGAUGGGGCUCCACUCACCACGCUGGUGCCUCCUGCUGGCUAUCUUGGAGAAUUAGUUCCACAGGUUGGUACGCCCUUUCCUAGUAACGCUUUGCCUGCUGCCACUUCUGCUCCUGGACCCACGUCACUCCAAGGACUACGGCAUCCUCUUCACAUCACAGCCCUCCACCAUGACACAAUCUGUGCUCCCCCUUCUGGGGUCGAGUGCGUCAGUCCAACUCUCCUGCGACUUCCCCAGUGGUGACUGCAGCCAAUUGUCCAGCCACUUCCCCACAGGCCCAGCAAUGUCUUUGCCCUUGUCUUAGGGUCUCAGCCUGCAAAUCCCAGCAGCCAGCCAGGAGCUCUCUCUAGCUCCCCCAGUCUCUGCUAGCAGCACUGCUCUGUCCAGGGUGCUAGCUUCUUUCUGCCUGCCAGCACCCAGUCCUCCCUCCUUGAGAUCCAGGGAGUAACUGACCCUGCUCUGCCCUGCAUCUCUUUUUAUAUGGGCCUGCCAGGCCCCAAUUGGCUGCUUCUCUCAGCUCCUCUCUAAUUGGCUGCCUCCUGUGCAGCCUCCCUAUUGCUCUAUUAACCCCUUAGAGGCCAGUGUGGGGACAUUGCCCCACAGGUACUCUUGGGGAUCUGGAUAUCAAGCAGACUGCAAAUCCAAUGUCACUCCAUAACAACCACCAACAGUGGCAAGUGAUGCAUUUUCAUUUUUUCCAGUGCAAAACUAUUCUUAAGAGCCACCUAGGCAGAAUAAUUCAUGUUAGAACCAGUCUCCCAAAAUGACAUAUAAAUAACCCAAAUAAAAUAAAACUUAGUUUUACCAAAGAUUUUACAACUGAACAUAGCAAAACAAAAUAAACUACAGAUGUCCAAUGAAGGGAGAAUGGAAGAGAUCACUGGUGAGAAUAUUAAAAGGGAAAAUACAAUAUACAGAAGUGGAUUUUAAAGAGUGAAGUGAAGGUGGAGAAAGAGGGCCUUUGGAGGACAACAAAUGGGAAAUUAUUCCACAGAUGGGAAGCAGCAUGAAGGAUCACGUGAAAUCAAGAGUGGGAAAAGGAGAGAGGAUUACUUACCAGGAGAAAUAUUAGUGUGUGGGAUUGAGGAAAUGAAAGCAGAAGUGAAAGUGGGAAAUGCUUAUGUAAGCCUUGAAGAAAGCCCAGGAGGGAAUCACUCUAGACACUGAAAGAGAAAAAGUCAAUAUUGCUUUAGCAGUGACAUUAUCAGAUAGGCUGGGAGUUAAGAUGAUGGAAACCUAAGUUUACAAUAGUCAAGGCAAAAGAUGACCCUUGUGUGAAUAAAGCGUUUAUCAAUAGGUUCAAGGAAAAAGCAGAAUUUGGCUAUAGUAAAAAGGGGGGGAAACGAAUAAGGUUUGUUCAGAUACUGCAUAUUGUGGGGAGAAAAGGGGAGAAGUUGAAAGUAAUAGCAAGGUGACAAGCCUGGGAGACAAACAAGAUAGUGGGGUUGUCUAUGCUGCUAAUGAGGGGAGGAACUAGUGCGAGAUUAAGAUAAAGGAUAAAUUCAGUCUUGGACAGAUUGAGUUUGAGAUGUAAGACUGCAAGAUAUCCAAGUAGAAAUAACCAAGAGUGAGUUGGAGCUGUCAGACUGGACAAAAAGAUGGCAAUGGAUAAAUUGUGAAUGAGCACUUAUCUACCUGAAGAAGCUUUGCACAAUCUGGCGCAUAACUUUUAAUUUUCUAUUGCUAAAGGCAGCAUGAUACAUCAACUUGAAAGUCCAUUCACUCUCUAGCAAAUGAACAAACUUUCUAACAAUAAGUAUUUGUAAGCAUUUCUAGGAAAUGAAUGCUCUUGCCCAUUCCUUUUCCCUCCAAGAUCCCUUUAAUUUUGAAUCUCCACAUAUCUCUGGGCUAAUCCAUGUACAACCAUCUCAAGGUUUAAAAAGUACAACGACUGCUUGAGGCCCAGUAAGGAGCAUUUUGAAGGGGCCCUUUUGUUGUUUUCCCAGGUAGGAUGUUUAACUCCUGAUCAGUGGAGCCUGAAUUCCUUUCUCACCACACCCAAGGUCAUUUUAAUGAAAAUUCCAAAGCCCAUGCCAAGAGGAUAGAAUUGCUCUUAAUCCUUCAGCAGCUAGUCAUUUGAUCCACAGACCCACUGGGGUUAUUAUUGUGUGUCUACAGAGCACAGCAAAGCACACAGAGGUAGAGAAAUGGCAACCACUGCGGAAACCAGUUUCCUUUCCCCAACCUUUCUUUCAGGUUGAGGGGGAGGGGAGGGGUCCUCCAUCUAAUCAGUACAUUCACCCCCUGCCAAUUUUUAGUGCUGAUACGAUGUUUUAAGUUAUCCUCCUCCUUUCAUAGAAGUUGCACAAGUUGUUUUUAACAAAAAGAAAUAAGGAAGUUUAAUUACAAAAACUGUUUCCUCUGUUGUGCAUUUUGAAAGGGAACUGCAUGUCUGUGUGGUCCACACCUCAGUGUAUUGUACUGAUGUUUUACAUCUGUGCUUUAACAGUGCCUUAGAAUAAUGAAAAACAAUGUGGACAAAUAAAAUUAAAAACAAAAUAGCACUUUUGGCAGGAUGGAGGAGGAAAGAGAGAUAGUGAGUACAGUAUAAUAUUCCAUUUCUCCCUGGAAUCUUUGACACAUGAUCCAGGAGUAUGUGUUUUAUCUAGUAUGUUCUCAGCGGUCAAGGUAAGGCUUAAUUCUCACUCCCUACAUUUGUUUCAGUCCGUGUCUGAUGUGAGCAGUGACUUCCAUUUCCUGUCAGGCUGAAAUCAGUAAAUUCACUGAAUACUUUAUUUAGGACACCACAGGCCUCAAGCAACUCUACCAGCUUUCACUCAUUGACAGGGCUUGCUUCUACAUCAUGUGGAUUCUUUUGCUCAGACCUUCACCCCCUGCCAAGAUGAGAGAGAUGCAUCCGCCAUCAUCACCCCCCCCUCCAGAUAAACAUUUAGGGUCCAAACCUGCAAAUACGUAAGCACAUGGGUAACUUUGUUCACAUGCAUAAAGUUACUCACAUGCUGAAGUGCUUGCAGGAUUAGACCUUAAAAUAAUGCAUUCUCCCCACCCCUUCAAAGGUGAAAAUUUCCAAUGUGUUCUCUACCAUUGUAUUGCUAACAGUGAAUUUCCUUCUACAGAAAUUUUGCAGCACCAGCAGCUCUGCACAAAGUACCUGGAUGUAGUAAAACCUAUAAGUAUGGUUGCUACGAAAAAGCCUCUCUCGGCUUUCAUCACUAGAUUUAUGAAAGAUAUAUAUUUUAGGCACCUCGUGGGAUUUACAAAUAUGCCUAAGGAAGUCAAUGGGAGUUAGGCACCUAACUCAGUGAGGUACUUCUAUAAAUCCCACCAAGCAUCUACCUUCAUCAUUAGGCACAUAAAUACCUUUGUAAGUCUAGCCCUUAGGGCUCAAUCCUGUUCCUAUUGAAGC